UCUCUCAGAAACCUUUUUGUUUCUCUCAAACCUCUCUUUGCCUUGCUCUCCGAUCUCCACUUCUUUAUGUGUCUUGCUUUCUUCCAGAAAACGCUUAAGUUAGUCAAAUUUGUUUAGAUCUUUUCGUUGGGGGUUACAAACGGCAACGCUCUCUUGCUGAAAAAUAGCGAAUUUGGUCUCGAUUUGAAGAAAAUUUGAAGCGCAUAAAAGAUCGCUUCUCCUGUUGCCGAUUUGAUUUGGGAAAUUGUCUGCUUUGAAUGUUAUGUGCUUGGGAGUUUAAAUUUGGAUUUUAAAUGGGUUUUUUGUUCAAAUUUUUUGGUUGUGAUUUUGGGAAUUUUGUUUAUAGCUUCGGAUUCUAGGUGAUGAUGGUUAAUUUGGUUUUGUUUUCGAUUUCAGAGGAUCGGGUUUUUCGAAUUUGUGACUUUCCUUUGAAGCCUGCGAAGACCUCUGUGUUUAAGCAGAAGUAGAUAAAGUUAAGAAAGAACAAUUGUGGCUUAAAGUCUUCGUAUUUGAAAGUUGAAUCUCAGCCUUUGAAAGGCUUUGUGAACGUGUCCUCACGUGUGCGGCAGACCUUCAUAGCAAUUUGGGUUACUUUUAUUUCAAGAUAUUGCAGUCUUCUUUCAAUCCCACAGAAAGGAAAUACCUCUUCACAACCAACUCAAUCAAAGUAAACUUUUACUGCUUUUAAAAACAUUAUCUCAACUAUCAACUCAAGUAAGUUCUCAGUUUUCAACCAUUAGACCACAUAACAUUACACUAGCCUUCAUGCACUUGCGUGAGCGCGUGCAGAAAACAUUUUUUGAAUCACAGCGUGUUAUGCGUGACUUACACAUUUUAAAUGUAUUUAUAUGCGUAAAUUGACAAAGUAAAUGAAUAAUUUAUGAUCAUGCU